rnacentral:lncRNA from 1 species
AUGGUUACCCGACUCACAAUACGUAUUAAUAUAAGUUUAUUCACGGUAUCACUUUGGGUUUGGUUUUGACUUUGUUUCGAUUCCAUAUCUACUUUCUACCUAUAGUUUACAUAUCUAGUACGGGAUGAUAGUCCCAUGGUUUUCAGUCUAUUGAUCUUGUAUCUAGUCCGGGAUGGUAGUCCCAUGGUUUUUAACUUAUAUCUAGUACGGGAUAAUAGUCCCAUGAUUUCAACUUAUAUCUUGUACGGGAAGUUAGUCCCAUGGUUUUGAAACUAUAUCUUGUACGGGAUGAUAGUCCCAUGGUUUUGAAACUAUAUCUUGUACGGGAUGAUAAUCCCAUGGUUUUGAAUCUAUGUCUAGUCCGGGAUGGUAGUCCCAUGGUAUUCAAUCUAUAUUUUCAUGUAUAUCAAACUAUCUUGUAUCUAGUCCGGGAUGAUAAUCC